UUGGAGAAAGCUUGCAAUAGUUGUCAGCAAGCCAUAGUCACAUCAGUGAGAUAGCCUUCGCUCAGGUUAUUCCAGCACUGUAAGUCCACAGCAGCCUCUGACACCAGUCCAGGGCCUGCUCAGGGCAAUCAGAAUCUGGAUCCUAUCCUCAUAAGGGUGAAGAGCUGAACAACAGACAGGACACCACUCACUUUGACAUUUUCUGCCUUCUUUUGGCUGUUUUCCUCAUGAAAUGGGAGAAAUGCAGGUUUACAGGAGACAAAAAUGGAUAGUACAGAUUGGUGUCCCAAGCAAAUGAGUAGGCAGCACGGAGGGCUUGCAGGGUUAAUGAUGUCAGGGGUUGGAGUGGGUGAGGGUGAGUUGGAAAAACGUUGCAGUAAUAGUGGGAGCAUGAGCCUUGAUAGGAGUUGGCAACAGUAGGAGAAAUAGAAUGAAUGUGAGUUAUCAGAAAGAAGAUGGAGUAGAAUGGACAAGGAAAAUUGGCCUUGUUUCUACAGUGGUUGACAUUCCUCCAGAUGGUUGAGACUGCUUUAACCCAGACUUCCACAGUCUGGUGCUGUAAUCCCAACUGCUGGCCCUGGGGGAGGUUACCCAUCUAGCAGGGCUCCAGGAUCCUGCUCACAAAUCGGGUCACUGAAUUUCCCCAGUCUGCUAUGUCCGGAGUAAAUGUCGGGAACUGUGGAGUGCAGCUCCAGACAGUGCUUGUCCAGGUGUGCAACAUGCUUUUAAAGAUGUUGUAAAGGAAGUUGCUGAAUUCUGAGAUAUCUAGUGAAUGGCAAAUGGUAAGAUGGGGUGGAAAUCAGUCAUGAAAGAGACCAUUGACACAGGGUGGGUAAUUAAUGAAGUGUGUGUGUUAACAUAAUGGGAGAGAACGCUCUACACUUGCAGUGAGAAACUCUUCCAAAAAAUGCAAUGCAACUCUGACUUCACAAAAAAAGAAGAUUCAGCUCAAAGUAUUAAAGCUUCGAACAGUUUGAGCUGUAGUACUUUUGUAGUGGGAAGUAAGGAGUUUUGUGGCUGUAUAACAUUCCAAUAUUUUCUUGUGUAUCACUGAAACCUUAGUUUACUUUCAUGUAUGUCAAUGUCCUGUACAAGUAGAAAUGGAACUUUAACAUUUUAUAUAGAGAUUUAAUUGAGUCCGAUUACAUUGUAGAUUUUACAAUAUAUCAAAUUCCAAUUAUUCUUGCUGCAAGAAUUUAGCUGCUUCAAGUACUCUGCACAAUAAUAAUUAUAACAGAUGUCUUUCUGAAGUGUCACCCUCACUUGUCCUCCAUUUGACAGCUUUCAUCUGCACAACUUUUCAUUCUGGAGUCACACAGCCUGGUAUUACAAUGGGGUCACACUAGGAAAUGGUUGUGAAAUGCUGAUCUGUGUUACAAAUAAUACGCUAUAUAAUUGACUGCUGUUUAAAUUACAGAACUAGAACUUUGGAAAUUCAUCGUAGAACAUGAGUGGAAGAGAAUUUAUGAAUGUGAAGGACGUGAGCUCAUUGCUGAAUUAAAGGCGCCGAAUACCUUCAAGAAGUAGAAGCUGCCUGCCUAGUGCCAAUGGCAAGCAUGAUGAAACCUGCUGCUGCUUUGUCAAAUAGAGCAGACUGCUCCUCACUGGGUCAGCUCUGUUAAUGUGGAGGAAAGUGACUACUCAGGUCACAUCAAGGUAUAGCAGUCAACAUGGCCCAAGUCUUUCCAUGAAAUAUCAGUUCUUGGAGGAUAAAAAUAAACUUUCAGCUGUGUGCACAA